ACGUGUGCAAAAGCCUGGGCGUCCUUACGCGUGCGUGUGUAAAAGCCUGGGCGUCCUUGCACGCGCGUGUGCGAAAAAAUUCCGGGGUCGGGGGUACUUACACGCGCGUGUGCAAAAGCCUGGGUGUCCUUAGACGCGCGUGUGCAAAAGCCUGGGCAUCUUUACACACGCGUGUGCAAAAGCCUGGGCGUCCUUACACGCGCGUGUGCAAAAACCUGGGCAUCCUUGCACGCGCGUGUGCAAAAACCUGGUGUCCUUGCACGCGCGUGUGCAAGAGCCUGGUGUCCUUGCACGCGCGUGGGCCAAAACCUGGUGUCCUUGCACGCGUUUGUGCAAAAACCUGGGCAUCCUUGCACGCGCGUGUGCAAAAACCUGGGCGUCCUUAUAUACACGUGUGCAAAAAACCGGGGGUUGGGAACCUUGCACGCGCGUGUGCAAAAACCUGGUGUCCUUGCACGCGCGUGUGCAAGAGCCUGGUGUCCUUCCACGCGCGUGUGCAAAAGCCUGGGCGUCCUUACACGCGCGUGUGCAAAAGCCUGGGCGUCCUUACACGCACGUGUGCAAACACCUGAGUGGACCGGGGUUCCUUACACACGCGUGGGCAUUGGCGGGGGAGGGUGUGCCUUGCACGCGCGUGUGCGAAAACCUGGGCGUCCUUCCACGCGCGUGUGCAAAAACCCGUGGGGUCGGGAUCCUUACACACGCGUGUGCAAAACCCUAAGUAUCCUUAUACGCGCGUGUGCAAAAAUCCUGGGGGGACGCGUGGCCUUACACACGCGUGUGCAAAAGCCUGGGCGUCCUUGCACGCGCGUGUGCAAAAGCCUGGGCGUCCUUACACAUGCGUGUGCAAAAGCCUGGGCGUCCUUACACGCGCGUGUGCAAACCCUGGGUGGGGCGGGUGUCUUUACACACGCGUGUGCAAAAGCCUGGGUGUCCUUACACGCGCGUGUGCAAAAACCUGGUGUCCUUCCACACGCGUGUGCAAACGCCUGGGCGUCCUUACACACGCGUGUGCAAGAGCCUGGGCGUCCUUAUAUACACGUGUGCAAAAAACCGGGGGUUGGGAUCCUUGCACGCGCGUGUCCAAAAACCUGGUGUCCUGACACGCGCAUGUGCAAAAAUUCCGGGGGUCGGGGGUUCUUCCACACGCGUGU
rnacentral:lncRNA from 1 species